rnacentral:rRNA from 1 species
AUAWAUGGGAAAAUUAAAAAWAUUAGUAUUUAGUUGUCAGAGGUGAAAUUCUAGAAUUUAUAAAGACUGACCAAUGCGAAAGCAUUUGCCAAGGAUGUUUUCAUUAAUCAAGAACGAAAGUAGGGGGAUCGAAGACGAUCAGAUACCGUCGUAGUCUCUACCGUAAACUAUGCCGACCAGGGAUCCGGAGAGUUUGCAUGGAUGACUCCCCGGGCACCUUGUGAGUAUCAUAAGUGUUUGGGUUUUGGGGGGAGUAUGGUCGCAAGGCGAACUAAAGAAUGACGAAGCCUCAGCUAGUCAAUUAG